rnacentral:rRNA from 1 species
UUAUUUAUAGCCUCUGGCUAUAGGAAAUUGUUAGUGGCAGACGGGUGAGUAAUGCGUAGGAAUCUACCUAGUAGUACGGAAUAGCCAUUAGAAAUGGUGGGUAAUACUGUAUAAUCCCCGAGGGGGAAAGAUUUAUCGCUAUUAGAUGAGCCUACGUUAGAUUAGCUAGUUGGUGAGGUAAUGGCUUACCAAGGCUAUGAUCUAUAGCUGGUCUGAGAGGACGAUCAGCCACACUGGAACUGAGAUACGGUCCAGACUCCUACGGGAGGCAGCAGUGGGGAAUAUUGGACAAUGGGCGAAAGCCUGAUCCAGCUAUGCCGCGUGAGUGAAGAAGGCCUUCGGGUUGUAAAACUCUUUCAA